AUUGAACGCUGGCGGCAUGCUUUACACAUGCAAGUCGAACGGUAACAGGCCGCAAGGUGCUGACGAGUGGCGAACGGGUGAGUAAUGCAUCGGAACGUGCCCAGCCGUGGGGGAUAACUACUCGAAAGAGUAGCUAAUACCGCAUACGAUCUAUGGAUGAAAGCGGGGGACCGUAAGGCCUCGCGCGAUUGGAGCGGCCGAUGUCAGAUUAGGUAGUUGGUGGGGUAAAGGCUCACCAAGCCAACGAUCUGUAGCUGGUCUGAGAGGACGACCAGCCACACUGUGACUGAGACACGGCCCAGACUCCUACGGGAGGCAGCAGUGGGGAAUUUUGGACAAUGGGCGCAAGCCUGAUCCAGCAAUGCCGCGUGCAGGAAGAAGGCCUUCGGGUUGUAAACUGCUUUUGUACGGAACGAAACGGCUCUGGUUAAUACCCGGGGCUAAUGACGGUACCGUAAGAAUAAGCACCGGCUAACUACGUG
rnacentral:rRNA from 1 species